UAAUCGUAGGUCAGCAUACUACGGUGAAUACGUUCCCGGGCCUUGUACACACCGCCCGUCAAACCAUGAGAGUUGGCAACACCCGAAGUCGGUAGUCUAACCGCAAGGAGGGCGCUGUCGAAGGUGGGAUUGAUGACUGGGGUGAAGUCGUAACAAGGUAGC
rnacentral:rRNA from 1 species